rnacentral:rRNA from 1 species
GUGCUAAGGUAGCAUAAUCACUUACUUCUUAAUUGGCAGCUGGAAUGAAAGGUUAAACUAACUUAGCCUGUUUGUUUUUCUAGCUAAGACCUUUAAGUCAAGGUAAAAAUUCUUUGAUUUUCUAGGGGACGAUAAGACCCUAGAAGCUUAAUGAUCAGUUAAGGCUUUAGUUGUCCCUAUAGCUUUAGUUUACUGGGGCGGUAAAAGUGUCUAAACCACUUAGAUCUUAGUUGGUCCUCUAAAUAGGGAUAAAUUGGUUUAGUUACUCUAGGGGUAACAGUGCUAUAUUUUUGGAGAGACCGUAUCGAUAAAUAUUUUUGCUACCUCGAUGUUGAAUUAAGACGUCUGCGCGAAGUAGCAGGUGCGUAAGAAGGUUUGUUCAACCUUUAAAGUCUUACAUGAUCUGAGUUCAAACCGGAG